rnacentral:rRNA from 1 species
AAUAAGCUAAUUAAGAGCGUAAGGUGGAUGCCUUGGCUCUCAGAGGCGAUGAAGGACGUGAUAAGCUGCGAUAAGCUACGGGGAUUGGCACACACAAUUUGAUCCGUAGAUUUCCGAAUGGGGAAACCCACUAUAUUGAAGAUAUAGUAUCCGUUAAGGAAGCAAACCCAGGGAACUGAAACAUCUAAGUACCUGGAGGAAUAGAAAACAAAAGUGAUUCCGCUAGUAGUGGCGAGCGAACGCGGAUCAGCCCAAACCAAAAUUGUUUCGGCAAUUUUGGGGUUGUAGGACCAUGACAUUGAAUGUUUAAUGAAUUAGAAUUCUUUG